rfam:Picea glauca, whole genome shotgun sequence.
UAUGUACAUUCCUUCAGUUUUAAUAAACCAGAUCCCAUAAGAAAUCCAUAGUUAAGCAUGCUUGGGUUAGAGUAGUACUGAUAUGGGUGACCUCCCAGGAAGUCCUAGUGUUUACAUGC